UGCGUAGGGGGCAAGCGUUGUCCGGAUUUAUUGGGCGUAAAGCGCGUGUAGGCGGCUUGGCAAGUCCGCUGUGGAAAACUCCGAGGCUCAACCUCGAGAUGAUCGGUGGAAACUGCCUGGCUAGAGUCCGGAAGAGGAGUGUGGAAUUCCUGGUGUAGCGGUGAAAUGCGCAGAUAUCAGGAAGAACACCCAAGGCGAAGGCAGCUGAUUGGCACAUAUCUGACGCUGAGCUGACGAAAGGCGUGGGUAGCGAAUGGG
rnacentral:rRNA from 1 species